rnacentral:lncRNA from 1 species
AAACAAAAAUAUCUUGAGAUUUUGAUGGUAAGGAUAGGUUCGGACAAGGCUCUAAUUCACUGAAUAUCCUUUCUCUCUUGAAUUUUGGCUAAAAUUCUUGUCGGCUUUUAGCAGGAUUUUGCAGGUGAGGAUUAGAUUGGUAUCAGAGCAUCACAUUUUUUGCCUUAUUUGCAAUGCAUUUAUAAAUUUUAGAAUCUCCAUGCUGGACAGACACCCAAAUUUAAAGGUUUUCUAUAUAUUUACAUAAGCACGCACACAUCUUAGUUCCUUGAAACCAUACAUUUUAUUUGUAUAUAAGCUUGAAUGAAUUUUCAAGAAAAUAAAAUCAUAAAUCCAUGAAAUUCUAAAGAUUUAUUGUAAAAUAACUGGUUUCUGCCACCUUAAA